rnacentral:rRNA from 1 species
GACGAACGCUGGCGGCGUGCUUAACACAUGCAAGUCGAACGGAAAGGCCCUGCUUUUGUGGGGUGCUCGAGUGGCGAACGGGUGAGUAACACGUGAGUAACCUGCCCUUGACUUUGGGAUAACUUCAGGAAACUGGGGCUAAUACAGGAUAGGAGACCCUGUUGCAUGGUGGGGGUUGGAAAGUUUCGGCGGUUGGGGAUGGACUCGCGGCUUAUCAGCUUGUUGGUGGGGUAGUGGCUUACCAAGGAUUUGACGGGUAGCCGGCCUGGGAGGGUGACCGGCCACAUUGGGACUGAGAUACGGCCCAGACUCCUACGGGAGGCAGCAGUGGGGAAUAUUGCACAGUGAGCGGAAGCCUGAUGCGGCAACGCCGCGUGCGUGAUGACGGCCUUCGGGUUGUAAACCGCUUUCGCCUGUGACGAAGCGUGAGUGACGGUAAUGGGUAAAGAAGCACCGGCUAACUACGUG